UACGAAGGGGGCUAGCGUUGUUCGGAAUCACUGGGCGUAAAGCGCACGUAGGCGGACUUUCAAGUCAGGGGUGAAAUCCCGGGGCUCAACCUCGGAACUGCCUUUGAUACUGUUGGUCUCGAGUCCGAUAGAGGUGAGUGGAAUUCCUAGUGUAGAGGUGAAAUUCGUAGAUAUUAGGAAGAACACCGGUGGCGAAGGCGGCUCACUGGAUCGGUACUGACGCUGAGGUGCGAAAGCGUGGGGAGCAAACAGG
rnacentral:rRNA from 1 species